rnacentral:rRNA from 1 species
GUGAACUGCCUAAAUGUCCUAAAAUCACCAGAUCCCAUCUGAUCUUGGAAGCUAAGCAGGAUUGACCCUGGUUAGUAUUUGGACAGGAAACUGACAAUGAAUACCAGCUACUGUCGGUU